rnacentral:rRNA from 1 species
GAUGAACGCUAGCUACAGGCUUAACACAUGCAAGUCGAGGGGAAACGGCAUUGAGUGCUUGCACUCUUUGGACGUCGACCGGCGCACGGGUGAGUAACGCGUAUCCAACCUUCCCGUUACUGUGGGAUAACCUGCCGAAAGGCAGACUAAUACCGCAUAGUCUUCGAUGACGGCAUCAGAUUUGAAGUAAAGAUUUAUCGGUAAUGGAUGGGGAUGCGUCUGAUUAGCUUGUUGGCGGGGUAACGGCCCACCAAGGCGACGAUCAGUAGGGGUUCUGAGAGGAAGGUCCCCCACAUUGGAACUGAGACACGGUCCAAACUCCUACGGGAGGCAGCAGUGAGGAAUAUUGGUCAAUGGACGGAAGUCUGAACCAGCCAAGUAGCGUGCAGGAUGACGGCCCUAUGGGUUGUAAACUG